rnacentral:rRNA from 1 species
UACGUAGGGUGCAAGCGUUAAUCGGAAUUACUGGGCGUAAAGCGUGCGCAGGCGGUUGUGCAAGACAGAUGUGAAAUCCCCGGGCUCAACCUGGGAAUUGCAUUUGUGACUGCACGGCUAGAGUGUGUCAGAGGGGGUAGAAUUCCACGUGUAGCAGUGAAAUGCGUAGAGAUGUGGAGGAAUACCGAUGGCGAAGGCAGCCCCCUGGGAUAACACUGACGCUCAUGCACGAAAGCGUGGGGGAGCAAACAGG